rnacentral:rRNA from 1 species
CCUACGGGUGACUGCAGUGGGGGAUAUUGCACAAUGGGGGGAACCCUGAUGCAGCGACGCCGCGUGGGUGAAGGAGUGCUUCGGCAUGUAAAGCCCUAUCGGCAGGGAAGAAGCAAGACGGUACCUAACUAACAAGCCCCGGCUAACUACGUGCCAGCAGCCGCGGUAAUACGUAGGGGGCGAGCGUUGUCCGGAUUCACUGGGGGUAAAGGGAGCGUAGACGGUCAGGCAAGCCAGGGGUGAAAGCCCGGGGCCCAACCCCGGGAGUGCCUUUGGAACUGGAUGGCUUGAGUGCGGGAGGGGCAGGCGGAAUUCCAGGUGUAGCGGUGAAAUGCGUAGAUAUCAGGAGGAACACCGGUGGCGAAGGCGGCCUGCUGGACCGCGACUGACGCUGAGGCUCGAAAGCGUGGGGAGCGAACAGGAUUAGAUACCCUAGUAGUC